rnacentral:rRNA from 1 species
UACGUAGGGUGCAAGCGUUGCCCGGAUUUAUUGGGCGUAAAGGGCGCGCAGGCGGCUACGCACGUCCGUUGUGAAAUCGCUCGGCUCAACUGGGCGGGGUCGGCGGAUACGGCGUAGCUGGAGCAAGCUAGGGGGCAAUGGAAUUCCCGGUGUAGUGGUGGAAUGCGUAGAUAUCGAGAGGAACACCUGCGGCGAAGGCGGGUUGCUGGGCUGACACUGACGCUGAUGCGCGAAAGCCAGGGGAGCGAACGGG